AGUGAACGCUGGCGGUAGGCCUAACACAUGCAAGUCGAACGGCAGCACAGUAAGAGCUUGCUCGUACGGGUGGCGAGUGGCGGACGGGUGAGGAAUACAUCGGAAUCUACUUUUUCGUGGGGGCUAACGAAGGGGAACUUACGCUAAUACCGCAUACGACCUAAGGGUGAAAGCCGGUGAUCUUCGGACCUUGCGCGAUUGAAGGAGGCGAUGUCGGAUUAGCUAGUUGGCGGGGUAAAGGCCUACCAAGGCGACGAUCCGUAGCUGGUCUGAGAGGAUGAUCAGCCACACUGGAACUGAGACACGGUCCAGACUCCUACGGGAGGCAGCAGUGGGGAAUAUUGGACAAUGGGCGCAAGCCUGAUCCAGCCAUACCGCGUGGGUGAAGAAGGCCUUCGGGUUGUAAAGCCCUUUUGUUGGGAAAGAAAAGCAGCAGGUUAAUACCCCGCUGUUCUGACGGUACCCAAAGAAUAAGCACCGGCUAACUUCGUG
rnacentral:rRNA from 1 species